GAAGGUAUAACUCAAGCAGUAGAGUGUAUGCUUAGCAUGCACAAGGUCCUGGGUUCGAUCCCCAGUGCCUCCU
rfam:Camelus ferus unplaced genomic scaffold scaffold558, whole genome shotgun sequence.